AAUCAACGCUGGCGGCGUGCCUCAGACAUGCAAGUCGAACGCGAAAGUCUCCUUCGGGGGAUAAGUAGAGUGGCGCACGGGUGAGUAACACGUAGGUAAUCUACCUUCGGAUGGGGAAUAACAACCGGAAACGGUUGCUAAUACCGCAUAAUGCAGCGGCACCUAAUGGUGACAGUUGUUAAAGCGGGGGAUCGAAAGACCUCGCGUCUGAAGAGGAGCCUGCGGCGGAUUAGCAGUUGGUAGGGUAAUGGCCUACCAAGGCGACGAUCCGUAGCCGGCCUGAGAGGGCGGUCGGCCACACUGACACUGACAUACGGGUCAGACUCCUACGGGAGGCAGCAGUCGGGAAUUUUGGGCAAUGGCGAAAGCCUGACCCAGCAACGCCGCGUGAAGGAUGAAAUCCC
rnacentral:rRNA from 1 species